rnacentral:ncRNA from 1 species
UUUCCGAACAGGUAAACCUCGGGUAACCGAGGGGCACAAAGCCACAGGUCCCAAGUUCAGCAAUGAACCGGACAGCUGGGUUGUCGAA